rnacentral:rRNA from 1 species
CUUGGUCAUUUAGAGGAGUAAAAGUCGUAACAAGGUUUCCGUAGGUGAACCUGCGGAAGGAUCAUUAUUGAAUUACGGGCGAGGGUUGUCGCUGGCCUCUCGGGGCAUGUGCACGCCCGAGCCAUCCCCAACAAACGCCGUGGGCCUUCGGGCCCGCGUAUAUUUACUCUGAAUGUGUAUAGAAUGUAAACCAUUUGUUUGCCCUGAAAAAGCAAACGAAAAAUAGUACAACUUUCAACAACGGAUCUCUUGGCUCUCGCAUCGAUGAAGAACGCAGCGAAAUGCGAUAAGUAAUGUGAAUUGCAGAAUUCAGUGAAUCAUCGAAUCUUUGAACGCACCUUGCGCCCCCUGGUAUUCCGAGGGGCACACCCGUUUGAGUGUCGUGAAAACCUCAACCUCCUUGGUUUCUUCUGGAGACCAAAGCAGGCUUGGACUUUGGAGGCCUUUGCUGGCACCUCUCGCCAGCUCCUCUUAAAUGAAUUAGCAGGGUCCUCUUUGCUGAUCCUCGACGUGUGAUAAGAUGUUUCCAUGUCUUGGUUUCUGGCUCUGUCACCUUUGGGACCCGCUUCUAACCGUCUUCAACCUUGCGUUGAGACAACGUUCGAGCAUGUCUCCCUUCUCGGGAAGCUCCCUCGACCCCACGAACCCUUGACCUCAAAUCGGGUGAGACUACCCGCUGAACUUAAGCAUAUCAAUAAGCGGAGGAA